rnacentral:rRNA from 1 species
GUCGAGCGCGGGAAGCAAGCUGAUCCUCUUCGGAGGUGACGCUUGUGGAACGAGCGGCGGACGGGUGAGUAACACGUGGGCAACCUGCCUGUAAGACUGGGAUAACCCCGGGAAACCGGGGCUAAUACCGGAUAAUACUUUUCAUCACCUGAUGAGAAGUUGAAAGGUGGCUUUUAGCUACCACUUACAGAUGGGCCCGCGGCGCAUUAGCUAGUUGGUGAGGUAACGGCUCACCAAGGCAACGAUGCGUAGCCGACCUGAGAGGGUGAUCGGCCACACUGGGACUGAGACACGGCCCAGACUCCUACGGGAGGCAGCAGUAGGGAAUCUUCCGCAAUGGACGAAAGUCUGACGGAGCAACGCCGCGUGAGUGAUGAAGGUUUUCGGAUCGUAAAGCUCUGUUGUUAGGGAAGAACAAGUGCCGUUCGAAUAGGGCGGCACCUUGACGGUACCUAACCAGAAAGCCCCGGCUAACUACGUGCCAGCAGCCGCGGUAAUACGUAGGGGGCAAGCGUUGUCCGGAAUUAUUGGGCGUAAAGCGCGCGCAGGCGGUCCUUUAAGUCUGAUGUGAAAGCCCACGGCUCAACCGUGGAGGGUCAUUGGAAACUGGAGGACUUGAGUACAGAAGAGGAGAGUGGAAUUCCACGUGUAGCGGUGAAAUGCGUAGAGAUGUGGAGGAACACCAGUGGCGAAGGCGACUCUCUGGUCUGUAACUGACGCUGAGGCGCGAAAGCGUGGGGAGCGAACAGGAUUAGAUACCCUGGUAGUCCACGCCGU